CACCAAUCAGGUGCAGCGAUAGUGUUAACGCGGAGGAGUGGGAGCGGGUAAUUGCGGACCUGCGAGAGGCUGGAUGUAGUAUUUGGAGUGGUGUUUGGAGUCGUGGUCGGCUGAGGUUUACCAUCGUGAAGCCUAGUUUGAUUCUUAGAUGUUGCUUAGGAGUGUUGCAGGUGUUCUCUCCUUCCACCUCAAGGGCAGAAACUUUCAGCAGUGACUACUCCCCAGAGCUGCCUGGUGAGCAACACCCUCCAGUGUUACAGAUGAGGAAGCCAGGCAAAGUAAAUGGCACUCAAGAGGAGAUGGUCCAGAGUUUCUGCUUUCCUGGAGAACCAUCCGCCCCAUCACUGCUUUGGCGUAACUGAUCACAGAUUUUGAAAUGGAAUGUGUGUGUGUGGAAAAACAUCACUUAAGGUGAAAAAAGUAAAUUCUCUGUGACUCAGUUGGACCAGGUAAGUAUUUCAGCCUUAGUGUGUGAAGGGGCUUUCGGACAAAUGCAUUUGACAAGCCACUGAGGGAAAAAGACCUUUGUUAUUAGACACGAAUGCUGCUAUGUCAUACAAAGAAACUCAAACAGCCCACCCCCCUGAAAAAAAUAAAGAGAAAAGGAGAGGGAAGAACA
rnacentral:lncRNA from 1 species